UUGAUCUGCCGUAGUCAUUGCUUGUCUCAAAGAUUAAGCCAUGCAUGUGUAAGUAUGAACUAUUCAAGACUGUGGAAACGUGGCGAAUGCGCUCCAUUCCAAACUCCGUUAUAGGUUUGUUUUUUGAUGAUCACCUGCUACUCGGAUUAACCGUAGUAAUUCAAGAAGCUAUACGUGCAACAAACCCCGGGGACUUCUGUUUGAGGGAUGCACUUUAUAUAGAUAAAAGGUCAACGCGGGCUCUGGCCCGUUUGCUCUGAUGAAUCUCAUGAUAAUCGAGACGGACUCGCCACGGCCUUUUGCGCGGCGACGCAUCAUUCAAUUCUGCGCCUAUCAACUUUCGAUGGUGGAUAGUGGCCUACCAUGGUGUGAGAGUGACGGUAGAUUAGGGUUCGAAUUCCGGAGAGGCGAGCCUGAGAAACGGCUACCCACAUCCAAGGAAGGCCAGCAGGCCGCAAAUUACCCAAUCCUGACAGUCGGGGAGGAUAGUGACAAUAAAUAACAAAUCGGGCUCUUGAGUCUGGUAAUUGGGAAUGAGUAACAAUCUAAAUCCCUUAAACGAGGAUCCAUCUGGAGGGCAAAGUCUGGUGCCGAGUAGUCCGUCUGGUAUUUCAUUCCAAGCCUUCCAAUGCGUAUAUAUUACAGUGUUGCAGUUAAAAAGCUCGUAGUUGACUUGGGGUGGUACACGCGUAGGUCCGCCUUUUGGUGUGCGCACCGGCCGUCUUCGCCUCCUUUCGCGGCGAUCGCGCUCCUUUGCGCCUUAACUGGCCGGGUCGUGCCUCGGCACUGUUACUUUGAAGAAAUUAAGGAGUGCUCAAAGCAAGCCUACGCUCUGUAUACAUUAGCAAUGGGAUAAAUUAUAGGAUUCCGGUCUAUUGUUCUGUUUUGCCUUUCGGGAUCGAGUAAUGAUAACAGGGAACAGUCCCGGGGGCAAUUUUCGUAUUUCAUAGUCAAGGUGAAAUUCUUGGAUUUAUGAAAGACGAACAACUGCGAAAGCAUUUGCCAAGGAUGUUUUCAAUUAAUCAAGAACGAAAGUUGGGGGGCUCGAAGAACGAUCAGAUAACCGUCCUAGUCCUGCAACCAUAAAACGAUGCCUGACCAGGGAUCGGCGGAUGUUACUUUUAGGACGCCGCCGGCACCUAUGAAGAAAUCAAAGUUUUUGGUUCGCGGGGGGAGGUAUGGUCGCAAGGCUGAACUUAAAAGAAUUGACGGAAGGGCAAACAACAAGGAGUGGAGCCUGCGGCUUAAUUUGACUCAUACACGGGGAACUUACCAGGUCCAGACAUAGUAAGGAUUGACAGAACUGAGAGCAUCUUUUCUUGAUUCUAUGGGUGGUGGUGCAGUGGCAGUUCUUAGUUGGUGAGCGAUUUGUUCUGGUUAAUUCCGUUACCCGAACGAGACAUCAGCCUGCUAACCUGCUAAUGCGGAGGUUACCUUCGCAGCUAGCUUCUUAGAGGGACUAUGGCCUUUUUAGGCCACGGAAGUUUCAAGGCAAUAAACAGGUCUGUGAUGCCCUUAGAUGUUUCUGGGCCGCACGCGCGCUACACCUGAUGUAUUUCAACGAGUCUAAUAGCCUUGACGCGACAGGUCCGGGUUAAAUCUUUGAAAUUUCAUCGUGAUGGGGAUAGAUAUUGCAAUUGUUGGUCUUCAACGGGAAUUCCUAGUAAAGCGCGAGUCAUCCCCGCUCGCGUUGACUACGUCCCUGCCUCUUUGUACACCCGCCCCGUCGCUCUACCGAUUGCAUGGUCCCGGUGAAGUGUUCGGAUCGCGGACGACGUGGGCGGUUCGCCGCCGGCGACGUCCGAGAAGUUCACUGAACGCGUUAUCAUUUAGAGGAAGGAGAAGUCGUACAAGGUUUUUCCGUAGUGAAACCUGCGUGAA
rnacentral:rRNA from 1 species